rfam:Puccinia sorghi strain RO10H11247 Scaffold_14, whole genome shotgun sequence.
CCUGUCAUCGUCUAGUGGUUAGGACACCAGGUUUUGACUGACACCUGGCCCACCUAGCCCUCUUGGUCCACGUUCCUGGUAACUUGGGUUCGACUCCCAAUGACAGGU